AGUGAACGCUGGCGGCAGGCCUAACACAUGCAAGUCGAACGGCAGCACAGUGGAGCUUGCUCCAUGGGUGGCGAGUGGCGGACGGGUGAGGAAUACAUCGGAAUCUGCCCAGUCGUGGGGAUAACAUAGGGAAACUUAUGCUAAUACCGCAUACGACCUACGGGUGAAAGCGGGGGAUCGCAAGACCUCGCGCGAUUGGAUGAGCCGAUGUCCGAUUAGCUAGUUGGCGGGGUAAUGGCCCACCAAGGCGACGAUCGGUAGCUGGUCUGAGAGGAUGAUCAGCCACACUGGAACUGAGACACGGUCCAGACUCCUACGGGAGGCAGCAGUGGGGAAUAUUGGACAAUGGGCGCAAGCCUGAUCCAGCCAUGCCGCGUGGGUGAAGAAGGCCUUCGGGUUGUAAAGCCCUUUUGUCCGGAAAGAAAAGUCCCGGGUUAAUACCCUGGGGUGAUGACGGUACCGGAAGAAUAAGCACCGGCUAACUUCGUGCCAGCCGCCGCCGUAACAC
rnacentral:rRNA from 1 species